UACGUAGGGUGCAAGCGUUAAUCGGAAUUACUGGGCGUAAAGCGUGCGCAGGCGGUUUUGUAAGUUUGUCGUGAAAUCCCCGGGCUCAACCUGGGAAUUGCGAUGAAGACUGCAAGGCUAGAAUCUGGCAGAGGGGGGUAGAAUUCCACGUGUAGCAGUGAAAUGCGUAGAGAUGUGGAGGAACACCAAUGGCGAAGGCAGCUCGCUGGGACGUGACUGACGCUGAGACGGCGAAAGCGUGGGGAGCAAACAGG
rnacentral:rRNA from 1 species